rnacentral:misc_RNA from 1 species
GACAAGCAUAUGACUACUGGCAGGAUCAACCAGGUAGCACGUCCUCUUUGACAUCCAGCGUCGGUAGUUGCCCUCCCGUCCACUUGCGUGGCAAGGCAGAGCCAACUACCGAGCUAGUUGUCGCAAUUGAGCGGGCCUAGCUCGUCCUACUUGUAUGAGGAUCGGCACAGUAUGUUGCGUAAUCCUACCACUAACUGUGGAGAGGUAGAGGCAACACAUGUUCCGGUUGUUCUCAAAUUCGGAGAGCCAAGCUCGUCCUACUUGUAUGAGGAUCGGCACAGUAUGUUGCGUAAUCCUACCACUAACUGUGGAGAGGUAGAGGCAACACAUGUUCCGGUUGUUCUCAAAUUCGGAGAGCGUUAUUAGGGUCAGGCCGAGGCAACCAAAAAGGGCCACGAGCCUAUAUCAUGAGCAACAUCCAAAACCAACAGCGAGAGCGAGGCUGCCUUGAUAGCACCGGGCACAAAAACAUGCCGGGCCAAGAGGAAACGCCGCAAGCGCCAUAUGGCCGCAGUAGCACACCCAAAGGCGUCCACCGCGAGUCAACUUUGUAUGAAGCACCACUGCCCGUAGGUUGGGUAACAUCACGCAAGCACCCGAAAGGCAACUGUAAGAUAUCUCACAAGAAUGAGAAGACACGGCGCCAAUAGUCGGCCGCACAAAGACGGGGGACCUACCAGCAGACACGGGUCCAAAACAGCUCAUGCGCUCGCGUAGCCA